UGGCUUCUUCUUUCCCCAUACAACCUGACCGAUCCAAGAACAUUGCCUCCCUUGAAAGGGUCUCUAGAGCCAAAAAGUAAGUGAUAAGAGAGGAACAAAUCCAGCUUGCCUUCCUCCAGGUCCUCUGGUCGGAAAGAUGAGAGCUGAACGGAGAGGUGUUUUUCUUCUGCUUUUUUUGAGACCUAUGAUACUGAGCGAAAACUCGUGAGAAGUUUUUAAAUGCUCAGCCAUAUUGAGAGAAUGUGGCACGAUUCUGAUUGGUUAUGAACAUCAGGGCCCAUCUUCUUACGAUUCCAAACAAUUGCUAACAAUGUCGUGUUGCUGUUGGCUGCAUCGUAUGCCGCAUCUCUGCCCACUGGAGCAACUCAACAACCUUGCAAGGAAAUCCUCUUCACCAUUUUCACUUCCAACCACCAAACAUGUCAUCAAGCAGCGAGCCUCUCCCUAUUGCUUUCUCUCUUUCUCGCCAGUUUUUGUCCCACAUGGAGCAGGGCGGCCUGGCAUCACACACGAUUCCCACUUCCGCUUACCUUCCUGAGCGAAUGGCGCUGAUGGAGCCGUAUGUGGACGCGUGAGCACUGCUGCCCGCCAGCUCUGGAGGUACGUGUUUUUGAAACAGCAGCACAGGGGAAGCCACAGGUGCACAAGAGUUCCCAGCCUGUCAUUUCUGAGGUAUGCCUGGAGUCCCCUCGAAAAGCCCAUCUUAAGACUGGGCACGACAUCCUUGCCUCCUUCCAGUGGAGUGGUUUCUGUUUUCAGAACUGAACGAGUAGUGUGUGCUCAUGUGCACAGGUACGUAGGUGGCCGGGCUGUUCAUCAGCAUGGCUGGGAGUGACGGAAGGCGGUGGAGGAAGAGGUGCGUCUCAGUAAGCAGGGACGGUGAAAUGGGUAACGUUAUAGCAGGAAAGAUAAGAAGGGGAGUUUUUAUGUACUAGCAUGGAUCCUCUUCAUUGAUACAUAUCAAUAUAUCAAUAUUGAUAUCAAUAUAUCAAUAUAUAUAUCAAUGAGAGAAACAGUGCAGUGCAGCGUAUGUAGUAUGUGACUGUUUGUGAAUAAGGGUGAAUAUCAUCCUAGAAAAGGAUUUGCGAGAUGUGACCCAAUAUGUAAGUGUGUAGGAAGUCGGUCACAUUGUUGGCUUCUGGGGAAAAAUACAUGUGGUUAAAUAAAGAGACAGCACAGGAUUUUGAUUAUGCUUUUGGUCAUAGCUUUUGAAUUUUGCAUCAUAUUAGAAUUAAGUGACAUCUGCACCCCUUCUAUCAUCCUAAUUCUGAAUAUCUUUUCUCCAUAGUUCCUUAUCCAGUCAUGUCUUUUCUUACCGAUCUUUCCCCAUGUCCAUCCUGCAACUUCUAUUCUUGGGGGCCAAAGACUUGAGAAACUCAAGGAGCAGUGCCUCAGUCAGUCAUGACUGGAAACUUCCAGAGAAAGGAGCAAAGUCCUAGUUCCUGGGACCUCGUAGGAAUACCAGAGGAAGAGAACGCUGCAUGAAGUUGCUGUACAGUGGCCACACACCACACGCUGGGAGGCUGGCCACAGGGGCAGGUUUCAGGUUUGCCCUGGGAGCCCUCCUGAGCACUCAGGACCUGGUGUGGCCAUCAUCUGGGGCUGGCUGAGGCUGGGGUGAUUACUACAUUGGGACGCCAUUGGAGUUCUGUCUCCCUAACCCUCUCUCUCUCAG